rnacentral:rRNA from 1 species
AGCGAACGCUGGCGGCAGGCCUAACACAUGCAAGUCGAACGAAGUCUUCGGACUUAGUGGCGGACGGGUGAGUAACACGUGGGAACGUGCCCUUUGGUACGGAAUAACUCAGGGAAACUUGAGCUAAUACCGUAUGUGCCCUUCGGGGGAAAGAUUUAUCGCCAUUGGAGCGGCCCGCGUCUGAUUAGCUAGUUGGUGGUGUAAUGGACCACCAAGGCGACGAUCAGUAGCUGGUCUAAGAGGAUGACCAGCCACAUUGGGACCGAGACACGGCCCAAACUCCUACGGGAGGCAGCAGUGGGGAAUCUUGCGCAAUGGGCGAAAGCCUGACGCAGCCAUGCCGCGUGAAUGAUGAAGGUCUUAGGAUUGUAAAAUUCUUUCACCGGGGACGAUAAUGACGGUACCCGGAGAAGAAGCCCCGGCUAACUUCGUGCCAGCAGCCGCCGUAAAAC